rnacentral:miRNA from 1 species
UGAUGAAAUCCCCCUAUGGCCUGU